rnacentral:rRNA from 1 species
GUGGGGAAUCUUGCGCAAUGGGCGAAAGCCUGACGCAGCCAUGCCGCGUGAAUGAUGAAGGUCUUAGGAUUGUAAAAUUCUUUCACCGGGGACGAUAAUGACGGUACCCACAGAGGAAGCACCGGCUAACUCCGUGCCAGCAGCCGCGGUAAGACGGAGGGUGCAAGCGUUGUUCGGAAUUACUGGGCGUAAAGCGUAUGUAGGCGGCAAGUUAAGUUCAAUGUUAAAGCCCACGGCUCAACCGAGGAGAUGCAUUGAAUACUGGCUAGCUAGAGGGUGUUAGAGGAAGACGGAAUUCCCAGUGUAGCGGUGAAAUGCGUAGAUAUUGGGAGGAACAUCGGUAGCGAAAGCGGUCUUCUGGGACAUACCUGACGCUGAGGUACGAAAGCGUGGGGAGCAAACGGGAUUAGAUACCCUAGUAGUCC